rnacentral:misc_RNA from 1 species
UACAGAGGGCGCAAGCGUUAAUCGGAAUUACUGGGCGUAAAGCGUGCGCAGGCGGUUAUGUAAGACAGAUGUGAAAUCCCCGGGCUCAACCUGGGACCUGCAUUUGUGACUGCAUAGCUAGAGUACGGUAGAGGGGGAUGGAAUUCCGCGUGUAGCAGUGAAAUGCGUAGAUAUGCGGAGGAACACCGAUGGCGAAGGCAAUCCCCUGGACCUGUACUGACGCUCAUGCACGAAAGCGUGGGGAGCAAACAGG